CUUUCGGCCGGCACCCCAUCAUUCGAAGCAGAAAGCCGAGGAACUUGAGGGACAUCCAUCUACGGAGAGCUGAGGGCCGUGCAGUUGUCUAGAGGCUAGCCUAGGCUAGGCUCUAGCCGGCGGGAUCACCAUGGGGGAGUGGUGGUGCGAGCCCAGCUUCGGCCUGUAGCGGUUCACUUCAGGGCGCGGUGGUGUGCCGGUCCGGUCGGGGUCGGUGCGCCCGUUCCCUUUCUUUACGUUGCUGGCCUGGCCUGGGUGCGUGCUCCGGACCUCCUGUAGGCUGGCGCAGGGAGAUCGCUGGGUGGCCUUUGAUAGCUCCUAUGGAGAAGUUGAGAAAGGGAAAAGGUGUGCCACACGCGCGUGCCGCCGAGCCGUGGCGUGCUUGUCUUGUCGAGACACACGAGGACCAGACGAGACGUGACGUGGCACACGCAUGGUGAAUAAGGAAAGGAAGAAAAAUGAGAAAAAUGGGGUCUGACGGGAUCUGACUGUUGUGCAAUUAAUGACAAUUAUUUAAUAAUUGAUUGACUCGUUAAUAGCAAUUAAUUAUGAUUGAUUGCCAUUAACCUAUGCAGACACUCUUUUCUAACCUGUGAGACAGAAUCAGUCAUACCUGUCUUUCCAGUCGCGUUGCUCGUUUUUGGGAGCGUCUUCCGCGACCGCUCGCCGGCGAGAUCGUCUUCUUCCACUCCUGCAUUUCUGGUGGACGGUCGAGUUCGUGACUGCGACUACUUCGUCUUCUUCCUAGUGGACGUUCGUGGAACUGCACUGCGAUCAUCUUCCUGCAUCGACUAUGGUCCACUACAGCAAGCAACACACUAUGUCGACUAGUGCGAAUGGAGCCACCGGUGUCUUCGGCACUGGUCCCUCCUUGGGGUACAAAUCUAAUCUACUUUCUUUUAUUUUCAGUAUGUCUGCAGUAGUAUUUGCAAUAUUUAUCUCUAAUCUGAGUAGUGAUAAAAUUGUACACGUGCACAUCUAUGCCACCCUAAUAUUAUGCGUUUAUCUAGAUUAAAUCAAACAUUAAAAUAUCUAAUUUUCUAACAAUCCAAAAACUUGAUAUUAGACCUUUCUGUUAGUGGUUUUGCUGCUGCGUUAAUACCGGAUCCGUUUGAUGGUUCAAACUAUAAGCGGUGGCGCGCGAGAAUGAUAUUGUGGUUAACUGCUAUGAGUUGCUAUCACGCUACGAAGGGGAAGCCGGAACAGUUUACUCCUGAGGAGGAGCAAACGUUCAUGGGAGCCGAUAACUAACCUCUUCAGAGGCGCCGUGAUCAGUGCGCUCGAUAAAAAGUAUGUUGACAACUAUAUCAUUUGCACUACUGCUAAGGAAUUAUGGGAUGCGCUUGAGGCCAAGUUCGGGGUUUCUAAUGCUGGUAGCGAGCUGUACCUCAUGGAGCAACUGUUUGAUUACAAAAUGGUGGAUAACCGUCUGUGAUUGAACAAGCACGUGAGAUACAGGCACUAGGUAAGGAACUAGAACAAUUCCCUUGUGUGUUGCCUGAAAAGUUUGUGGCCGGCGGUAUAAUCGCUAAGCUGCCACCUUCUUGGAAGGAUUUUGCUACUUCUCUAAAACAUGAGAGGAAAGAGUUUGGUCUUACCGAACUCAUGGAAACUCUUGAUGUCGAGGAGAAGGCGAGAACAAAAGAUACACAUGAGAAAGGCGUUGAGUCUUCUAGUGCCAAUGUGGUGCAGAAGAAAAAGCAAUUCGCAUUCCGUAAUAAGAAAAAGAACAAGCAAGAGAACAAGCCAGGGACAAAUCCGAAGCCAAAGCAAACUGUAACUUUUAAGAAGAAAAAGGCAGAUGGUGGCUGCUUUGUUUGCGGUAGCGAUGACCACUAGGCAAGUGUUUGUCCAGACCGCAAAUUCAAACGAGAAGAGAAAAAGUCAGUGAACAUGGUCAUCAGCGAAGCUGAAGGAGGAACAUCUGGGCCGGCGACAAUGGAGCCUUACUGAUGAGGAACGGCUCUCAUGCGUGUGUUCUUGGUGUUGGUACGGUCAUUCUGAAGUUCACUUUGGGAAAGACGGUGCUGAUGAAGAACUUGCAGCAUGUCCCCUCCAUCAAAAAGAAUCUAGCUAGCGGCUCACAGCUUUGUAGAGAUGGCUACAAAAUAGUCUUUGAGGCCAAUAAAGUUAUACUUUCAAAGUUUGUAACUUUUAUUGGUAAAGGUUAUGAUUGCGGAGGCUUGUUCCGUUUAUCUAUGCAUCAUGUGUGUAACAAA